rnacentral:rRNA from 1 species
GACGUAGGGCGCGAGCGUUGUCCGGAUUUAUUGGGCGUAAAGAGCUCGUAGGCGGUCUGUCGCGUCGGUCGUGAAAACUUGGGGCUUAACCCUGAGCUUGCGGUCGAUACGGGCAUGACUGGAGUUCGGCAGGGGAGACUGGAAUUCCUGGUGUAGCGGUGAAAUGCGCAGAUAUCAGGAGGAACACCGGUGGCGAAGGCGGGUCUCUGGGCCGAUACUGACGCUGAGGAGCGAAAGCGUGGGGAGCGAACAGG